GAUGAAGAACGUAGCGAAAUGCGAUAAGUAAUGUGAAUUGCAGAAUUCAGUGAAUCAUCGAAUCUUUGAACGCACAUUGCGCCCCUUGGUAUUCCGAGGGGCAUGCCUGUUCGAGCGUCAUUAUAACCCCUCAAGCUCAGCUUGGUGUUGGGGCCUGCUGCACUGGCAGCCCUUAAAAUCAGUGGCGGCGCCAUCUGGCUCUAAGCGUAGUAAUUCUUCUCGCUAUGGAGUCCUGGUGGAUGCUUGCCAUCAACCCCCAAUUUUUCUAUGGUUGACCUCGGAUCAGGUAGGGAUACCCGCUGAACUUAAGCAAAUCAAUAAGCGGAGGA
rnacentral:misc_RNA from 1 species